AUGUAACCGCCAUGGGGGUAGGAGCCCAGAACUAUUCUCCGCUUCAGACUGCUAAGGAAUCACGGGUCUCGAUUUCCAUCAAAUUAUGAGUCAUCCCACUGUAAUCACAAGCAAGUCUCAACCUGGCCCUGCAAUCCUUGUUCUCGAGCAGCAGGAAAUCUUACAAUCUCUGGAAAGGGCCCACCCUUCAAUGCUAUGAGCAGCAGAUAGACACUGUGACUAAUGGGGUCAUUUGUCAGGGCCUGGUGCUACAUACUUCAUCCUGGCAAAAUGCUUUUCCGAGGAGUUAACCGGAGGAAAUGGCUACAAAUAAGAGCAUUACCAGAAGAGAAAGAUUGAGGACUGCAGUCUCUAACAUAAAUAGAUUCAUGCCUAUUAUCUAUUAAAAGGCACAAAACUACUCAUAGUCAUUGUGAGCUAUACGUAUACAAAAUGAAAUUCAGGACUAAAAUUGCUUAGUUAAAUGAUUCGCUGUGACAGGUGUUUCAAAAAAUUACAAAUAAAUUCUGAAUCUAUCAAAAAAA